rnacentral:rRNA from 1 species
AUUGAACGCUGGCGGCAUGCCUUACACAUGCAAGUCGAACGGUAACAGGUCUUCGGAUGCUGACGAGUGGCGAACGGGUGAGUAAUAUAUCGGAACGUGCCCAGUCGUGGGGGGAUAACGCAGCGAAAGCUGUGCUAAUACCGCAUACGAUCUAUGGAUGAAAGCGGGGGAUCGCAAGACCUCGCGCGAUUGGAGCGGCCGAUAUCAGAUUAGGUAGUUGGUGGGGUAAAGGCCCACCAAGCCAACGAUCUGUAGCUGGUCUGAGAGGACGACCAGCCACACUGGAACUGAGACACGGUCCAGACUCCUACGGGAGGCAGCAGUGGGGAAUUUUGGACAAUGGGCGCAAGCCUGAUCCAGCAAUGCCGCGUGCAGGAUGAAGGCCUUCGGGUUGGUAAACUAGCUUUUGUUACGGAACGAAAAGGACGUACUGGUUAAUACCUUGGGCGUCAUGACGGUACCGUAAGAAUAAGACACCGGCUAACUACGUCGCAGCACG